rnacentral:rRNA from 1 species
UACAGAGGGUGCAAGCGUUAAUCGGAAUUACUGGGCGUAAAGCGUGCGUAGGCGGACAGUUAAGUCGGAUGUGAAAGCCCUGGGCUCAACCCGGGAAUUGCAUUCGAUACUGGUUGUCUAGAGUAUGGUAGAGGAAAGUGGAAUUCCCGGUGUAGCGGUGAAAUGCGUAGAUAUCGGGAGGAACAUCAGUGGCGAAGGCGGCUUUCUGGACCAAUACUGACGUUGAGGCACGAAAGCGUGGGGAGCAAACAGG